UAGAAAUCUGCCCAAGUGAGGCUGCAGGAGUAAUUCUGAGCAGCCAGGGCCUGAUUAUCAGUCCUGCCCACAGAGAAUUCCCUCGGGUGCUGCCUUCUCUUUGCUUCCCAAUAAAUAUUUUUAUUUAUUGCUGUUAGGAGGGACCUCACUGCAGCCUCUCCCCAGUGGUUUUUCCAUGACUUAAAGCCAGGAAAUCUCCAGUGAACCUUAACAGAAGGGUCAAGCUGGAGGCUGUUCAGGUGAAAUGAAAGGGAAUGUGAGCCCCUGCUCUGCUCACGCUCCUGGCAGGAAUUCUGCAGGAAUUCGCUGCAGAUCAGCGAGGAUUCAUCAAAGUUGCAUCAAGUUGAAAGAGUGCCCAAGAGACUGAAGAGAUUGUCAGAGACCCCCUGCAUUUUUAGAUUAUUUUAUCCAGAUGAAGACAGCGGUGACCAGAGCUCUGGGGGAGGAAUUUAUUGAACCUCUGUUAUCAGGGACUGUGAAACUCGGUGGAGCCAAGAAGAUUGAUCUAUUGGGAAGGGUGUGAGCUGGGACUAAACAAACAUCUGAAAUUUAAGAGAAAUGUUUGAAUCAUGUAUGAAAAUUUAUGAAUAUGUACUAGGAUUCUGUUUUUAAGGGACAAUC